AGAGCGAACGCUGGCGGCAGGCUUAACACAUGCAAGUCGGAGCGCUCGUAGCAAUACGAGAGCGGCAGACGGGAGAGUAACACGUGGGAACGUACCCUUCGGUUCGGAACAACCCAGGGAAACUUGGGCUAAUACCGGAUACGUCCGUAAGGAGAAAGAUUUAUCGCCGAAGGAUCGGCCCGCGUCUGAUUAGCUAGUUGGUGAGGUAACGGCUCACCAAGGCGACGAUCAGUAGCUGGUCUGAGAGGAUGAUCAGCCUCACUGGGACUGAGACACGGCCCAGACUCCUACGGGAGGCAGCAGUGGGGAAUAUUGGACAAUGGGCGCAAGCCUGAUCCAGCCAUGCCGCGUGGGUGAUGAAGGCCCUAGGGUUGUAAAGCCCUUUCGGCGGGAAGAUAAUGACGGUACCGCAGAAGAAGCCCCGGCUAACUUCGUGUCAGCAGCCGC
rnacentral:rRNA from 1 species